UCAUCAGAUUGGAUAUUGGUUAGUACACGCGCCUGUCACGGGUAAUCGUUGAACUGUGCGCGCGAAAGCUGGGUUCGACUCCCAGUCAGAGAG